CUUCGAAGAAGAGGGGGUAUAUUGCUUUGCUCAUGUCGGUCUGUCGGUCGGUCCGUCCACCAGGUGGUUGUCAGACGAUAACUCAAGAACGCUUGGGCCUAGGAUCAUGAAACUUCAUAGGCACAUUGAUCAUGACUCGCAGAUGACCCCUAUUGAUUUUGAGGUCACUAGGUUAAAGGUCAAGGUCACGGUGACCCGAAAUAGUAAAAUGGUUUCCGGAUGAUAACUCAAGAACGCUUAGGCCUAGGAUCAUGAAACUUGAUAGGUAGAUUGAUCAUGACUUGCAGAUGACCCCUAUUGAUUUUCAGGUCACUAGGUCAAAGGUCAAGGUCACGAUGACCCGAAAUAGUAAAAUGGUUUCCGGAUGAUAACUGAAGAACACUUAUUCAUAGGAUCAUGAAACUUGAUAGGUAGAAUGAUCAUGACUCGCAGAUGACCCCUAUUGAUUUUCAGGUCACUAGGUCAAAGGUCAAGGUCACGGUGACCUGAAAUAGUAAAAUGGUGUCCGGAUGAUAACUCAAGAAUGCUUAUGGCUAGGAUCAUGAAACUUCAUAGGUACAUUGAUCAUGACUGGCAGUAACCCCUAUUGAUUUUCAGGUCACUAGGUCAAAGGUCAAGGUCACAGUGACAAAAAACAUAUUCACACAAUGGCUCUCACUACAACGGAGAGCCCAUAUGGGGGGCAUGCAUGUUUUACAAACAGCCCUUGUUUAUGAUUCGAAU